AUGAUAUGUCUCCUUGCCUUCCUGUGCACUCUCUUAUUUCCCGGUGGUUUGGUGGCAUUCAGCCUGGAGCAGCCUUCCGUGGUUGUGGUGCGCAUGGACACCUUGGCCAUUAUGCCUUGCAAAGCCAGCACCAAGAUCAGCCAUAUCCACUGGUACCAUCACCAGGAGCAUACGGCCCCCCAGAGGAUCCUCAGACUGGAAGUGUCUGGAUCUUCUGUGAACAAGGAUUCAGUCCUGAAAGCAGAUAAAAUCAUUGCCAUAAAAGAUAAAGAUGUCACCAGCUAUAGUCUGUUGGUGCUGAAGCUGAAGAACGAUGAAGCUGUGUACUACUGUGCUACCUGGGAAGGAUAUUGGUACAACAAAGUAUUUGGUCCUGGCACAGUGCUCAGGGUUACAGAUAAAAAUCCUGAUGAAGACAUUCCCCCCAAGCCCACAGUUUUUCUUCCUUCAAUUACUGAAAUUAAAGACCACAACACUGGAACAUAUCUUUGUCUUCUUGAGGAUUUUUUCCCUGAUGUUAUCAAGAUUGACUGGAAAGAAAAAGAUGAUAAAACAGUUCUGCAAUCCCAGCAGGGAGAUACCAUGAAGACUAAGGACACAUACAUGAAAUUCAGCUGGCUGACCGUGACUCAAGAAUCAAUGGCUAAAGAUCACAAAUGCAUGGUCAAACAUGAGAGGAAUAAAGGAAGGGUUGACCAAGAGAUCGAUUUUCCUUCAAUAAACAGAAUUUUGGUGGCAGCGAUUCAAUCCAAUAUGGACUCCCAGAGGCAUUCAGAGACAAGGAGGAAGAGACAGGUGGUAACUGUGAGCCCUCUAAGUUCACAAUCUUUCUCAACUGUUCCAAGCACUGUGGACAACCAGCAGCUGCAGCUCAUGAACACCUCUGCCUACUAUAUCUAUAUCCUCCUCCUCUUCAAGAGCUUGAUGUACUCCAUCAUCAUCACCAUCUGUCUGCUUGAGAGACCAGCGCUCGAUGGCAAUAGGAAGAACUAACACAUGGUGCCACCAGGAUCCAAUUUUUCCCAUUGGCUGCUGUUCUAAAAUGUCUGCUGUGGAUGCAGUGGGGCUUUCUUUCUGAGAUUGGGUUAUUUCCUUUCACAUGUGUCAUUCUCUCUAGUGCCAUUAUGCAGAAUGGGUUUAUAAACCACUGGGCAAACAGAAACUUUCGCUCUGCAGCAAGAACAAAUUCUACUAUGGCUCAAGGGUGGGGCCAGGAGGCCAUCCCCAGGGGCUUCAUCACUGCUCUCUCCUUAAUGCCCACCCAUUCCUCAGCCACGCAGUACCCAUGCCUCUGAGGACAGGGACUCUUUAACCAGAUAAGUGCCUGGAAGCCUUUUAUUUUAUAUACGUGGAACCCGCCAUCCUUGCUACUUGAACUUUGUACUGUUUUUCAAAAUAGGCACAAUAAAAAGCAUUGAAAAGUC